rnacentral:rRNA from 1 species
CCUACGGGUGGCAGCAGUGGGGAAUCUUGCGCAAUGGGCGAAAGCCUGACGCAGUGACGCCGCGUGAGGGAUGAAGGUCUUCGGAUCGUAAACCUCUGUCAGCAGGGAAGAACGGUCACUGUGCUAAUCAGCAGUGAAUUGACGGUACCAGCAAAGGAAGCACCGGCUAACUCCGUGCCAGCAGCCGCGGUAAUCCGGAGGGUGCGGGCGUUAACCGGAAUUACUGGGCGUAAGGCGCUCGUAGGCGGUAGGUCAAGUCAAGGGUGAAAUCCCCGCGCUCAACGUGGGAACUGCCUUUGAAACUGGCAGACUGGAGUGUGUGAGAGGAUAGUGGAAUUCCAGGGGUAGGAGUGAAAUCCGUAGAUAUCUGGAGGAACAUCAGUGGCGAAGGCGACUAUCUGGCACAUAACUGACGCUGAGGAGCGAAAGCGUGGGUAGCAAACAGGAUUAGAUACCCCUGUAGUC